GACGAACGCUGGCGGCGUGCUUAACACAUGCAAGUCGAACGAUGAAGCGGUGCUUGCACCGUGGAUUAGUGGCGAACGGGUGAGUAAUACGUGAGUGACCUACCUUUGACUCUGGGAUAAGCCUGGGAAACUGGGUCUAAUACCGGAUACGACCAAUCUCUGCAUGGGGUGUUGGUGGAAAGCGUUAUGGAGUGGUUUUAGAUGGGCUCACGGCCUAUCAGCUUGUUGGUGAGGUAAUGGCUUACCAAGGCGACGACGGGUAGCCGGCCUGAGAGGGUGACCGGCCACACUGGGACUGAGACACGGCCCAGACUCCUACGGGAGGCAGCAGUGGGGAAUAUUGCACAAUGGGCGCAAGCCUGAUGCAGCAACGCCGCGUGAGGGAUGACGGCCUUCGGGUUGUAAACCUCUGUUAGCAUCGAAGAAGCGAAAGUGACGGUAGGUGCAGAGAAAGCGCCGGCUAACUACGUG
rnacentral:rRNA from 1 species